GGCUGGAUGGCAGAGUGGUCAUGCAGCGGCCUGCAAAGCCGUUUACUCCGGUUCGAUUCCGGAUUCAGCCUCCA
rnacentral:tRNA from 1 species